GGGCGAAUGGCGGAAUUGGUAGACGCGCAGGACUCAAAAUCCUGUACUAGCAAUAGUGUGAGGGUUCGAUUCCCUCUUCGCCCACCA
rnacentral:tRNA from 1 species